GGAAAUGUUAUUUUCCAUGGAAACCCAAUCGACUAUAGUGGAACUGGUUAGGGGAGUACAAUUGAGUAAUGAGGAAUGCCAACAAAUACAGAAGAGGAUAGAAGAUGAAGAGAAGACUAAGUAUAACCUCGAUAAGGAGGGAUUACUUCGUUUUGAAGGAAGAAUUUGGGUUCCGAAUGAUCCCUAAUUAAAGGAGGAAAUAAUGAUGGAGGCCCAUAGUUCGAGG
rnacentral:lncRNA from 1 species